rnacentral:tRNA from 1 species
GGUUGUGGCUCAGCGGCAGAGGGCUCGCCUAGUACUCUGCCUAGCAUGUGCGAGGCCCUGGGUUCGAUCCUCAGCGCCA